rnacentral:tRNA from 1 species
UCCCUGGUGGCUCAGCUGGUAGAGAAUCUGCCUGCAAUGCAGGAAACUUGGGUUCAAUCCCUGGGUUGGGAA